UACGUAGGUCCCAAGCGUUAUCCGGAUUUACUGGGCGUAAAGAGUCUGUAGCCUGAUAUGUAAGUCUGUUUUCAAAUACCUGGACUCAAUCGAGGGAAGGGAAUAGAUACUGCAUAUCUAGAGAUAUUUGGGGGUUAGUGGAAUUUCCGGUGGAGCGGCGAAAUGCGUUGAUAUCGGAAAGAACGCCGAAAGCGAAAGCAGCUAACUACAAUACAUCUGACGGUGAGAGACGAAAGUUUGGGUAGCAAACGGG
rnacentral:rRNA from 1 species